rnacentral:rRNA from 1 species
CUUGCUCCCUGAUGUUAGCGGCGGACGGGUGAGUAACACGUGGGUAACCUGCCUGUAAGACUGGGAUAACUCCGGGAAACCGGGGCUAAUACCGGAUGGUUGUCUGAACCGCAUGGUUCAGACAUAAAAGGUGGCUUCGGCUACCACUUACAGAUGGACCCGCGGCGCAUUAGCUAGUUGGUGAGGUAACGGCUCACCAAGGCGACGAUGCGUAGCCGACCUGAGAGGGUGAUCGGCCACACUGGGACUGAGACACGGCCCAGACUCCUACGGGAGGCAGCAGUAGGGAAUCUUCCGCAAUGGACGAAAGUCUGACGGAGCAACGCCGCGUGAGUGAUGAAGGUUUUCGGAUCGUAAAGCUCUGUUGUUAGGGAAGAACAAGUGCCGUUCAAAUAGGGCGGCACCUUGACGGUACCUAACCAGAAAGCCACGGCUAACUACGUGCCAGCAGCCGCGGUAAUACGUAGGUGGCAAGCGUUGUCCGGAAUUAUUGGGCGUAAAGGGCUCGCAGGCGGUUUCUUAAGUCUGAUGUGAAAGCCCCCGGCUCAACCGGGGAGGGUCAUUGGAAACUGGGGAACUUGAGUGCAGAAGAGGAGAGUGGAAUUCCACGUGUAGCGGUG